GAUGAACGCUGGCGGCGUGCCUAAUACAUGCAAGUCGAGCGAACGGACGAGAAGCUUGCUUUUCUGAUGUUAGCGGCGGACGGGUGAGUAACACGUGGAUAACCUACCUAUAAGACUGGGAUAACUUCGGGAAACCGGAGCUAAUACCGGAUAAUAUUUUGAACCGCAUGGUUCAAAAGUGAAAGACGGUCCUGCUGUCACUUAUAGAUGGAUCCGCGCUGCAUUAGCUAGUUGGUAAGGUAACGGCUUACCAAGGCAACGAUGCAUAGCCGACCUGAGAGGGUGAUCGGCCACACUGGAACUGAGACACGGUCCAGACUCCUACGGGAGGCAGCAGUAGGGAAUCUUCCGCAAUGGGCGAAAGCCUGACGGAGCAACGCCGCGUGAGUGAUGAAGGUCUUCGCAUCGUAAAACUCUGUUAUUAGGGAAGAACAUAUGUGUAAGUAACUGUGCACAUCUUGACGGUACCUAAUCAGAAAGCCACGGCUAACUACGUG
rnacentral:rRNA from 1 species